UUUCCGUAGGUGAACCUGCGGAAGGAUCAUUAUUGUAUAACCGAGGUGCGAGGGCUGUCGCUGACCCGAAAGGUCGUGCACGCCCGAGUGCCCUCACACACAUCCAUCUCACCCCUAUGUGCACCACCGCGUGGGUCCCCCUUUGGCUUGUUCGGAGGGGGGCUUACGCUUUCACACAAACUUUGUAUGCAGUGUAGAAUGUAUUUUUUGUUUUUGCGAUCACGCAAUCAAUACAACUUUCAACAACGGAUCUCUUGGUUCUC
rnacentral:misc_RNA from 1 species